GAGUAUGAAGCGAAUUUAUUGCAAUUAGUUUCGACCUAAUUUUAGGUAAUAUUACCCUUACUCU
rnacentral:tRNA from 1 species